CUUCCUGCUUUGCUCGCUUGACGGUGGUCACUGUUCCGCAGCGGUCAGUAGAAAACAAGAACAGAAGAUGGCGGUUACUACGCUGCUAAGAAAAUAAGUCAGGUUUAAGAAAAAGAGGGGGAGAACAAAAGAAGCCAGACAAAAGAGUGACAAUUUAUAACCAAGUUUUUCUCCAAGAGAGGUGAGUCAGUCACCUCGAUACCAGCAUGACAUGACCUUUAACCCCGGUCCCAGUGAAAGAGAUGAAACGGAUUCCAGAGGAUUUGAAAUCCAUCGUCUGCAAUGAGAAACGUCAUAUUUCCAGCUGCCAGUCGGCCCAGGGAUAAACGUCAAGCCAUGCGAUGCUCAGAAAUAGAAAUAAAUAACUAAAAAUCUGA